rnacentral:rRNA from 1 species
UACGUAGGGUGCAAGCGUUGUCCGGAAUUAUUGGGCGUAAAGAGCUCGUAGGCGGUUUGUCGCGUCUGCUGUGAAAACCCGAGGCUCAACCUCGGGCCUGCAGCCGAUACGGGCGGACUAGAAUUCGGUAGGGGAGACUGGAAUUCCUGGUGUAGCGGUGAAAUGCGCAGAUAUCAGGAGGAACACCGGUGGCGAAGGCGGGUCUCUGGGCCGAUAUUGACGCUGAGGAGCGAAAGCGUGGGGAGCAAACAGG